CUGAACGCUGGCAGCGUGGUUUGAGACAUGCAAGUCGCACGGGUGUAGCAAUACAUCAGUGGGCGCAACGGGUGAGUGAUGUAUAGCUAACGUACCCUAGGGACUGGGAUAGCUAUCCGAAAGGGUAGGUAAAACCAGGUGAAAUAAUCGGAAGGGCAUCUUCUGAUUCUCAUAUACCGCAAGGUGCCCCUGGAUCGGGCUAUAUCGUAUCAGCUAGUUGGUGAGGGUAAACGGCUCACCAAGGCGACGACGCGUAGCCGGGACUGAGAGGUCGGUCGGCCACAUCGGGGACUGAGACACUGCCCGGACUUCCUACGGGGGGGCUGCAGUAACGAACCUUCCCCAAUGUUACGAAAGUAUGAGGGGAGCGACGCUGCGUGGAGGAUGAAGUCCUUCGGGAUGUAAAACUCCUGUCAAGGGAUACCAAGUUCUGAGGAUCCCUAAAGGAAGAGGGCGGCUAACUCUGUGCCAGCAGCCGCGGUAAUACAGAGGGCCUCAAGCCGUUAGGCGGAAUCACUGGGCUUAAAAGCGUGUGUAGGCGGGGUCGUUAAGUGGCCUUGUUGAAAUCCCCCUGGCUCAAACCAGGGAAACUGCUUGGCAUAACUGGGCGAUCUUGAGCCACCUAGGGGGCAACUGGAACAGACGGUGGAGCGGUUGAAAUGCGUAGAUAUCGUCUGGAAACGCCAAUGGUGAAGACAGGUUGCUGGGGGGUGCGCUGGACGCUGAGACACGAAAGCCAGGGGAGGCAAACGGGAUUAGAUACCCCCGGUAGUCCUGGGCCCUAAACGAUGUCCACUAGAUCGUGGGUUGCUUUUGACGGCGGUCAUGGUCGAAGUAAAAAAUGUUAAGUGGACCCGCCUGGGAAGUACGGUCGCAAGGCCUAAAAACUCAAAGGAAUUGACGGGGGCUCACACAAGCGGUGGAGCAUGUGGUUCAAUUCGAAGCAAACGCGCGCAAGAACCUUACCCUGGGUUUGGACAUGCUAGGAUUAUCCCUAUGAAAGUAGGGUAGGAACCUUUCGGGUUUACUACAACUAGUACAGGUGCUGCAAUGGCUGUCGUCAGCUCGUGUCGUGAGGAUGUCGGGUUUAAGUCCCCAUAACGAGCGAAACCUUUACCCCUUAGUUACCAGCGGGUUAUGCCGGGGGACUCUAAGGGGGACUGCCGGUUGUCAAGCCGGAGGAAGGUGGAGAUGACGUCAAGUCCUCAUGGCCUUUAUUACCCCAGGGCCACACACGUGCUACAAUGGGGUGCACAAAAGCGAACCUAGAACGCGAGUUCAUGGAAAAAACGCAAGAAAUCACCCCUCAGUUUCAGAUCGGAGGCUUGCAACUCGCCUCCGUGAAGCUGGAAAUCGCUAGUAAUCGCGGAUCAGCUACGGCCGCGGUGGAAUGUGUUCCUGAGCCUUGUACACACCGCCCGUCAAGUCAUGGGGAGCCGGAAAUAGCCGAAAGUCGCCAUAAUUCGAUGGCGCCUACGCUAGGUUCGGUGACUGGGGACU
rnacentral:rRNA from 1 species